AGUCAACAUAUGUGAAACACUUUGCAUGGUGCCUUGCCUUCGUAAGAGCCCCAUUAUGACAACUGUGAUCAUAACUACUUUACAUAAAGGCUUCUGACCCAGUGUCCAGGGCUUGCAGGAGCCCUCUCCCAUGGGCAUACCAAGGCCAUCGUCUCCUGAGACAGGAGUACCUUGGGAAGAAGCCUGAGCUCUGUCCCAGUUCCACUGAUUUGAGAAUGACCUGACACUGACAUGGGAAUGUGAUGCUGGAAGCUGCAGCUGCCACGUUGCAACCAUGAGGGGAUGAGCCAAGACCACACCAAUGUGCAAAGGACCAGAAAGAUGGAAGGGAUAUUCUGGAACUUUCGUAGCUCAGAGUUCUUGUAACGUGGGAGGAUAAAUGAACUCACUGCUUAAACCACUUCUAGGCAGGCCUUCUGUUAUUUGAAGCAAAAAGCAUUCCAGCAUUUCUAAACUUGAGAAAGACAUUUUGAAAAGUUGUGGGUCUGGGACUCUAAAACAGGUGUUCUUAGAGCCUCCCACUGCCUUUCUCUGGCCCUGGUGGUAACUGCAAAUCUUAGGAAGUCAUGGAAAGUUGCUGGGUCUGAGCCACACCUCACAUCCCAGCAUCUCAAGCCUCCAGGCAGAAACUGGUGAGUCACUGAGAUCUCGGGUGUCGUUCAGUGUGUUUGUCACUCCUUCCAUCAACGAAGUAGACUCUGGGGCCUACAGAGUGGCCAGCGCUGGAGAAGGUGAUGAGGAGGCAGAGCUAAAAAUGCAUGUCUCUGCUCAUGUGUUCAUUCAUGUAUUUAAUUAACACUUACCCAAAACAUCAAUAUCCCCCAAACUUAUUUUAAUAAAAUGUGGUGUUUGCUUUGUCAUCCUUCUGAAUAUGCCCUUCAGGCUUCAAUAUUCCAAAGUAGUCCAUGAAUGCAGAAAUAUUGGGAACCACCAAUUUGCGCAAGUCAUUAAAUCUUUCUGUGUCCCAGUUUCCUUCUCUGAGACAGCAGCUAGUUAAAUUUCGUCAGAUGGCCUCAUUGGCUCUGGCUAAGAAUCAAUAAGCAGUCAUGGUGUUAAGAGCCCUCCCUCAAGAAGUAUGCUACCACAGAGGGAGGUCUAAGCUGAGGUCUAGCUUCAUCCUUAAGGUCCCGUGUUCUGGAAUCCAGCGGACUUGGUUUGGAAUACUGACUCUGCCAAUUGUUUACAGAGUAAAUCUGGACAAAUUUGACUUUACUUCUCUGGCCCUCAGUAUUCACACGUAUGACUGGGAACACACAGCACCCAUCUCACAGGGCAUUAUCAGGAUUCACUGCUCUUAGCUAUGGUGAACUCUUGGCACAAGCAAACAAUAAAUAAUAGCUAUUUUAUUCUUGUUUUGUUUUUGUCACUGUUAGGGAAUCUCCAGUCGUAUUGAAACAUCUUCUAUGAAAGCCUCAGAAAACCCCCC
rnacentral:lncRNA from 1 species